GGGCUUGGGGGCUUGCUCCCGGGUUAGUGGCGAACGGGUGAGUAAUAUAUCGGAACAUAUCCGGAAGUGGGGGAUAACGUAGCGAAAGUUACGCUAAUACCGCAUAUGCCCUGAGGGGGAAAGGGGGGGAUCGCAAGACCUCUCGCUUUCGGAGUGGCCGAUACCGGAUUAGCUAGAUGGUGAGGUAAAGGCUCACCAUGGCGACGAUCCGUAGCGGGUCUGAGAGGACGACCCGCCACACUGGAACUGAGACACGGUCCAGACUCCUACGGGAGGCAGCAGUGGGGAAUUUUGGACAAUGGGCGCAAGCCUGAUCCAGCCAUACCGCGUGAGUGAAGAAGGCCUUCGGGUUGUAAAGCUCUUUCAGCCGGAAAGAAAUUGCUUCUAUUAAUACUAGGGGUAGAUGACGGUACCGGAAGAAGAAGCACCGGCUAACUACGUGCCAGCAGCCGCGGUAAUACGUAGGGUGCGAGCGUUAAUCGGAAUUACUGGGCGUAAAGCGUGCGCAGGCGGUUUGGUAAGACAGAUGUGAAAUCCCCGGGCUUAACCUGGGAACUGCAUUUGUGACUGCCAGACUAGAGUGUAGCAGAGGGGGGUAGAAUUCCACGUGUAGCAGUGAAAUGCGUAGAGAUGUGGAGGAAUACCGAUGGCGAAGGCAGCCCCCUGGGCUAACACUGACGCUCAUGCACGAAAGCGUGGGGAGCAAACAGGAUUAGAUACCCUGGUAGUCCACGCCCUAAACGAUGUC
rnacentral:rRNA from 1 species